GUAGCUUAAAUCACUAAAGCAUAACACUGAAAAUGUUAAAAAGGAUAAACAAAUCCCACCAAUAACCCCUCAACACGC
rnacentral:tRNA from 1 species